AAGAUAUUAGUAAAACAUUACAUAACUUUGUCAAAGUUAAAUCAUUGGUUAAACCCCAAUAUAUCUUC
ensembl:Mt_tRNA